GAUGAACGCUGGCGGCGUGCCUAAUACAUGCAAGUCGAGCGAAGCGGGGAAGGGUGAGUAACACGUGGAUAACCUCCUAUAAGACUGGGAUAACUUAGUGAAACCGGCGCUAAACCGGCACCUUAUAGCUGGAUCCGCGCUGCAUUAGCUAGUUGGUAAGGUAACGGCUUACAAAGGCAACGAUGCAUAGCCGACCUGAGAGGGUGAUCGGCCACACUGGAACUGAGACACGUUCCAGACUCCUAAGGGAGGCAGCAGUAGUGAAUAUUGCGCAAUGGGCGAGAGCCUGACGGAGCAACGCCGCGUGAGUUAUGAAGGUCUUCGGAUCGUAAAACUCUGUUAUGAGGGAAGCGGUACCUAAUCAGAAAGCCACGGCUAACUACGUGCCAGCAGCCGCGGUAAUAC
rnacentral:rRNA from 1 species